UUCUGUUUGUCAAUAUAUAGUGGGAGCUGCUGUGGUCUCUCGUCCUCCUUUUCACCUUCUCUCUGCUGCUCAUCUGGUCCUACUUCUGGUGGGAGGCAGACAACGACUACAAUGAAUUCAACUGGUUCCUGUACAAUAACUCUGGGGAGUGGACUGAUGGAACCGUUCCCAUCCUAGCAACAACUGCUGCUGGAUUCACCUACAUUGCAUUUUUAAUGGUUUUAGCACUUUGCCAUGUUGCACUUGGGCAACAGUUGAAUUUGCACUGGCUUCAUAAGAUAGGAGUAACUGCUUCUUUACUCACCACUAUUGUUGGGAUAAUAUCAGUUAAUCAAACAUGGACACAAGAGUGGGAUAUCAUCCCCAUCUCCUUGCAGGCUACAGGUCCGUUCCUGCACGUAGGGGCUCUUGCUGCAGCCACAGCCUUGUCAUGGAUUGUUGCAGGACAAGUUGCCCGUGCAGAAAAAACGAGUAUGUUUAUGAUUCAAGUUACAGCACCUUCCAAAUGUAAAAAUGUGAGUCAUUCAGUUCUGUAGCACAAAAUCCUUAAAUCAUGAAAAUCAGUCUAAUUUAAAUACCUUUUGUGAAGUGGCUAAGAUUAAUGAAUCACUUUUAGUGCUGCCGAGUGUGUAGCAGCUAGCCGAUGUCUACUUUAAGUUAAGAACUUUGAGAAACUGCUACUUGGUUGUAAUCGCUACAAGAAAAUACAUAUUCACCUAAACCUGCAUAUAUCUACAGUCAGAGCAGUAAUUAAAACUUGUUUUUAACAA